rnacentral:rRNA from 1 species
GGUUAAGCGACUAAGCGUACACGGUGGAUGCCCUGGCAGUCAGAGGCGAUGAAGGGCGUGCUAAUCUGCGAUAAGCGCCGGUAAGGUGAUAUGAACCGUUAUAACCGGCGAUACCCGAAUGGGGAAACCCAGUGUGACUCGUCACACUAUCAUUAACUGAAUCCAUAGGUUAAUGAGGCGAACCGGGGGAACUGAAACAUCUAAGUACCCCGAGGAAAAGAAAUCA